rnacentral:rRNA from 1 species
UGGGGAAUAUUGGACAAUGGGGGGAACCCUGAUCCAGCCAUGCCGCGUGUGUGAAGAAGGCCUUAUGGUUGUAAAGCACUUUAAGCGAGGAGGAGGGUACUGGUAUUAAUACUACCAGGUACUGGACGUUACUCGCAGAAUAAGCACCGGCUAACUCUGUGCCAGCAGCCGCGGUAAUACAGAGGGUGCGAGCGUUAAUCGGAUUUACUGGGCGUAAAGCGUGCGUAGGCGGCUAAUUGAGUCGGAUGUGAAAUCCCCGAGCUUAACUUGGGGAUUGCAUUCGAUACUGGUUAGCUAGAGUGUGGGAGAGGAUGGUAGAAUUCCAGGUGUAGCGGUGAAAUGCGUAGAGAUCUGGAGGAAUACCGAUGGCGAAGGCAGCCAUCUGGCCUAACACUGACGCUGAGGUACGAAAGCAUGGGGAGCAAACAGG